AGGCUCGCGGCCUAUCAGCUUGUUGGUGGGGUGAUGGCCUACCAAGGCGACGACGGGUAGCCGGCCUGAGAGGGUGUCCGGCCACACUGGGACUGAGAUACGGCCCAGACUCCUACGGGAGGCAGCAGUGGGGAAUAUUGCACAAUGGGCGCAAGCCUGAUGCAGCGACGCCGCGUGAGGGACGACGGCCUUCGGGUUGUAAACCUCUUUCAGCACAGACGAAGCGCAAGUGACGGUAUGUGCAGAAGAAGCACCGGCCAACUACGUGCCAGCAGCCGCGGUAAUACGUAGGGUGCGAGCGUUGUCCGGAAUUACUGGGCGUAAAGAGCUCGUAGGUGGUUUGUCGCGUUGUUCGUGAAAACUCACAGCUCAACUGUGGGCGUGCGGGCGAUACGGGCAGACUGGAGUACUGCAGGGGAGACUGGAAUUCCUGGUGUAGCGGUGGAAUGCGCAGAUAUCAGGAGGAACCCCCCCUCGAAG
rnacentral:rRNA from 1 species